UCCCUGGUGGUCUAGUAGUUAGGAGUUGGUGAUUUCACUGCUGUGGUCCAGGUUCAACUCCUGGUCUGGGAA
rnacentral:tRNA from 1 species